CCUUAGAGUUUGAUCCUGGCUCAGGACGAACGCUGGCGGCGUGCCUAACACAUGCAAGUCGAGCGAAUGAAGUUCCUUCGGGAACGGAUUUAGCGGCGGACGGGUGAGUAACACGUGGGCAACCUGCCUCAUAGAGGGGAAUAGCCUUCCGAAAGGGAGAUUAAUACCGCAUAAGGUUGUAGUACCGCAUGGUACAGCAAUUAAAGGAGCAAUCCGCUAUGAGAUGGGCCCGCGGCGCAUUAGCUAGUUGGUGAGGUAACGGCUCACCAAGGCGACGAUGCGUAGCCGACCUGAGAGGGUGAUCGGCCACAUUGGGACUGAGACACGGCCCAGACUCCUACGGGAGGCAGCAGUGGGGAAUAUUGCACAAUGGGGGAAACCCUGAUGCAGCAACGCCGCGUGAGUGAUGACGGCCUUCGGGUUGUAAAGCUCUGUCUUCAGGGACGAAUAAUGACGGUACCCGAGGAACAAGCCACGGCUAACUACGUGCCAGCAGCCGCGGUAAUACGUAGGUGGCGAGCGUUGUCCGGAAUUACUGGGUGUAAAGGGCGUGUAGGCGGGAUGUCAAGUCAGAUGUGAAAUUCCGAGGCUUAACUUCGGGGGUGCAUCUGAAACUGAUAUUCUUGAGUGUCGGAGAGGAAAGUGGAAUUCCCAGUGUAGCGGUGAAAUGCGUAGAGAUUGGGAGGAACACCAGUGGCGAAGGCGGCUUUCUGGACGAUAACUGACGCUGAGGCGCGAAAGCGUGGGUAGCAAACAGGAUUAGAUACCCUGGUAGUCCACGCUGUAAACGAUGGAUACUAGGUGUAGGAGGUAUCGACCCCUUCUGUGCCGGAGUUAACACAAUAAGUAUCCCACCUGGGGAGUACGGCCGCAAGGCUGAAACUCAAAGGAAUUGACGGGGGCCCGCACAAGCAGUGGAGUAUGUGGUUUAAUUCGAAGCAACGCGAAGAACCUUACCAGAGCUUGACAUCCCUCUGACAGGCUUAGAGAUAAGUCUUUUCUUCGGAACAGAGGUGACAGGUGGUGCAUGGUUGUCGUCAGCUCGUGUCGUGAGAUGUUGGGUUAAGUCCCGCAACGAGCGCAACCCCUGUUGUUAGUUGCCAUCAUUAAGUUGGGCACUCUAACGAGACUGCCGGUGACAAAUCGGAGGAGGGUGGGGACGACGUCAAAUCAUCAUGCCCCUUAUGUCCUGGGCUACACACGUACUACAAUGGCGAUUACAGAGGGCAGCAACAUCGCAAGGUAGAGCAAAUCCCCAAAAGUCGCCCCAGUUCGGAUUGCAGGCUGAAACUCGCCUGCAUGAAGUCGGAAUUGCUAGUAAUGGCAGGUCAGCAUACUGCCGUGAAUACGUUCCCGGGCCUUGUACACACCGCCCGUCA
rnacentral:rRNA from 1 species